rnacentral:rRNA from 1 species
CCUACGGGUGGCAGCAGUGGGGAAUAUUGCACAAUGGGGGAAACCCUGAUGCAGCGACGCCGCGUGAGUGAAGAAGUAAUUCGUUAUGUAAAGCUCUAUCAGCAGGGAAGAAAAUGACGGUACCUGAGUAAGAAGCCCCGGCUAACUACGUGCCAGCAGCCGCGGUAAUACGUAGGGGGCAAGCGUUAUCCGGAUUUACUGGGUGGAAAGGGAGCGUAGACGGCAGGGCAAGUCUGGAGUGAAAGGCGGGGGCUUAACCCCCGGACUGCUCUGGAAACUGUGCGGCUGGAGUGCAGGAGAGGUAAGUGGAAUUCCUAGUGUAGCGGUGAAAUGCGUAGAUAUUAGGAGGAACACCAGUGGCGAAGGCGGCUUACUGGACUGUAACUGACGUUGAGGCUCGAAAGCGUGGGGAGCAAACAGGAUUAGAUACCCGAGUAGUC